rnacentral:rRNA from 1 species
GACAGAGGGUGCAAACGUUGUUCGGAAUUACUGGGCGUAAAGCGCGCGUAGGCGGACCCGCAAGUCGGGGGUGAAAGCCCGAGGCUCAACCUCGGAACUGCCUUCGAUACUGCGGGUCUCGAGUCCGGGAGAGGUGAGUGGAAUUCCUAGUGUAGAGGUGAAAUUCGUAGAUAUUAGGAAGAACACCAGUGGCGAAGGCGGCUCACUGGUCCAUUACUGACGCUGAGGUGCGAAAGCGUGGGGAGCAAACAGG